GACGAACGCUGGCGGCGUGCUUAACACAUGCAAGUCGAACGAUGAUGCCAGCUUGCUGGUGGAUUAGUGGCGAACGGGUGCGUAACACGUGAGCAACCUGCCCCUGACUUCGGGAUAACCGCGGGAAACCGUGGCUAAUACCGGAUAUGACGCGCUAUCGCAUGGUGGUGUGUGGAUAGAUUUAUCGGUUGGGGAUGGGCUCGCGGCCUAUCAGCUUGUUGGUGGGGUGAUGGCCUACCAAGGCGACGACGGGUAGCCGGCCUGAGCGGGUGACCGGCCACACUGGGACUGAGACACGGCCCAGACUCCUGCGGGAGGCAGCAGUGGGGAAUAUUGCACAAUGGGCGCAAGCCUGAUGCAGCGACGCCGCGUGAGGGAUGACGGCCUUCGGGUUGUAAACCUCUUUCAGUAGGGAAGAAGGCCUUCGGGUUGACGGUACCUGCAGAAGAAGCGCCGGCUAACUACGUG
rnacentral:rRNA from 1 species